AAAUGAAUUGACGGGGGCCCGCACAAGCAGCGGAGCAUGUGGUUUAAUUCGACGCAACGCGAAGAACCUUACCAAGGCUUGACAUCCAACUAAAGCUAUGGAAACAUAGUGUCCCUUCGGGGGAGUUGAGACAGGUGGUGCAUGGUUGUCGUCAGCUCGUGUCGUGAGAUGUUGGGUUAAGUCCCGCAACGAGCGCAACCCUUGUUGCCAGUUACCAGCGCGUAAAGGCGGGGACUCUGGUGAGACUGCCGGGGACAACUCGGAGGAAGGUGGGGACGACGUCAAAUCAUCAUGCCCCUUACGUCUUGGGCUACACACGUGCUACAAUGGCUGUAACAAAGGGAAGCAAUGCGGUAACGCAAAGCAAAUCUCAUAAAAGCAGUCCCAGUUCGGAUUGUGGGCUGCAACCCGCCCACAUGAAGUCGGAGUUGCUAGUAAUCGCGGAUCAGAAUGCCGCGGUGAAUACGUUCCCGGGCCUUGUACACACCGCCCGU
rnacentral:rRNA from 1 species